GAUCAGGUGGCCGAGUGGUUAAGGCGAUGGACUGCUUUCCAUUGAGUUGUUCCCGCGUGAGUUCGAAUCUCAUCCUGAUCG
rnacentral:tRNA from 1 species